ACUGGCUGGCUCGUCCACUGACAGCUCUCGGGCGUCGUGCCCCGCGGUCAGGCCUCACCUGAUAGCCCGGUUGGAUGCUCGCGGUGGGAUUCGGUACACGUUGACUUCAGGUUUGACGCAGAGGACCGACUCGUACUCAAACUGACCCUCUGACGCCAUUUUGCCUUGAUUUUCCGUCGGUGUACGCCGGUGUUGGUGUUGCUGUGGUGGGCAAGUGAAUAAGUCCGUGCGGUUGAAGCUUAGCCGUAAAACAGCAAAAAUAGCGACCUUCAUUUUCAUUUUUCUCUUUUGUGGUGAUAUUUUGCGAUAAUAUGAGAUGUUAUAUGUUUGGUUGAUACUGCUUGUCUGUUUUACUUUAACUUUUAAUACUCGUAUCUCCGCUUUUGCUCUCUAUGGUGAAUGAACGGUGUCGCUUGUCACUUUUAAAACACACAUUACGGUUUUGUGAUGUAUAACGGUACCAGUACUCCGCAGAGGUAACAACUGCAAUUCAGAUAUCGCAGUCAUUAUUAUUACGAUGAUGCAAUAUGGCCAAAUGGGAACACUUUAAAACCAAAUUUUAAACCAUAAUUUCAGGAUAUGAUAAUACAGUUUUAGUAAACCUGCGGGUAUGAAACUAUCAGAAAGACUUUUUUUUUUUUUUUUUAACCAUAUACAAACAAAAUAAAGCAUCAACAAGUAUCAAAAUCAAAUACAAUACUAUAGAUUGAGCUUAACCACAUAACCAAGCAGACAAUAGCAACAACAUCAACAAGAAAAAAAAACUAUCUGAAAGACUUAAUGGGGCGGGCAACAGCUUUAUCAUGUGCAUCUAAGCGGAAGAUAUCGUGUUUAACUAGAUACAUUUUGAAACUUUUUUUUUUUUUUCAGAAAAUUGCCGUUUACGGGCGAACGGAAAAUUUAUCGGGGCUGUUUAAAAAAUUCCUUGCGUCGUGCCAAAAUUACGGUCGUGCCGAAACUUGAACGGUGCCCAUCGGUUCUAUGGUUCGGGCUGCGCGGUGCGCCGAAAAAACGCGGAGAAUAAGAUGAAUAAAGAAUAAUGAUAAGUAGGCUCAAGUUGCAGAACAACCCAGGUAAUGAAUUGGAAAAACAGUUUAAUUUUUGUAAUGUGUAAUAUUGGAGGAAAAAGUAAAUAAAAUUCAGUAUUUACAGCAAAAGGCCAUCUGACAUGGAGGCCGACAUUUUAUCAAUGCUAAUACUAUUGUAGCCAGUAAAUGCGAGUUUCACAUAUUGCCCAGUCUUGAUACCAAUGGCGUACCUCAAGCAACACGUCACUUUUGCCUAUUAAUACUCAUGACGUUAGCAAUUGUUGCUAGCCGGGUCAACCUCCCGUUUAACAGUAAAUGCAUGGAACUAGUGUACGAACGAGAUGUUUACUGAGCUAAACCUACCAAUUCUGUCCAAAAAUGAUGUCCCUGGUGCCAAAUUCACUGGUAAAGAUGUCGAAAAACAUACAAAUGUUCAGUUAAAAAGAUGGCUUGAGUGUCGAGGGCUGAAAAAGACGGGAAAAAGAGCAGACCUGAUCCAGAGUUAGCUUUUUUAUUGACACCUUUUUCUUGUGUGCAUUGCCUUAUGCCACUAACAAUGACGUUGUCAUGUUUGAACAAUCUAUCCUUUACCACCGUAUCCCCUGUCUUUCUUAUAUAUUAUAUCCUCUGAUUGUCUUACGUCUCUGACUGUUCUUGGGGGCAAUUUACAUUGCUGUUUUUGUGUAGCGAUCACAAAUGCUACUCAGUGACUGCCAACGAACACUUUUAAUUUUUUCAUUAAUAACAAAUUUUAAUUCUAUAAUCUAUUUACACUUCCCCCUACUAAAGUUGUUUUUUUUCCAAGAGAAAAGGUAACAGUGGCAGUCAGAUACCAAUUAAAUUUUUUUCAGGUCAUUCAUUGUCAGACAGAAGCAGCACGGUGAAACGCCCACUAAAAAAUAAGUAAAAAUAUCAAAAUGGCUUACUCCUUCGUCCUCUGUAGGACCAUGGCCCCCAACAAACUGUACUGCAUAUGAAAUUUGAAUGGCUUAACCUUGCUGACGUUAAACUGGUCUUUUGGAUGUCCGCGCAAGUUGAUCCAUUCUUCACAAUUUUUCCUCCGAGUUUUUGGUUUUGGGAAACGUAUGAAGAAAACAGCCUUCAGAUGUCGUAAUGUCUAGAGUCAUUUCUACAAGUUCCAUAGCAGCAGUGUUUGAUUGGCACGUUCUUUUUUGAAAGAAUACCGGCGAAAACAAGCAGAAAUAACAUGGAUUGUAUGUGAGGGCGUGUCUAUAAUGACCCACUUCCGCAUUAUGAUGGCGACGUCACGGUCUGAAAAUAGCAUUCGUGCUGUACGCUAUUCACAAAUGCACCUGUGCUCAUGUAUCAUUGAGGAUGUGCGCUGGUGUAAGUGACAUUAAAAAAAUGUCUACGCUCAUAAGUGGUGUCAUUUUUGUGUUAAAUAUUAUUUAUCCACUAUCAGAGGUCUAAAAAAAUAUCCAUUUGCAUAUUUAAAUCAAUUGUCUUCCACAUUAAGGUCAAUUAUACUUUGUGUUGUCUGUCCCUUUAUUAAAACGCAAACCUAUCAAUGUUGAUUUAUUUUGUUAUAUUUAAUUUACGGACAGACUAACAACAAUACAGUUGUUAAAAUUAACAGUAUACUAGUGCGGUGGCAAGUAAUUUUAAGUGCGUGUGUGUCGGGGGAUGUCACCCCUUCUAUUAUCUUGGGGCGCCGUUGUCAUUGUUUAUUUGUUUAUGAGCAUCAGGAUUAGACGCGUACUUUCAUAGAAACCUGUUAAACUUGAUUUAUUAACUCGUAUAGACAGGUCUUCGAGGUACUUCCGCUUUACUUCCUUAUGUCUGCAAGCAACUUCCGUUUUACAAUUUCUCCAUCCAAAACAACAAUGGAGCUGGAGUGACAUAAUUCAUCAAAAUCCCUUAAAAAAGACAAUUUGGAAAUACCGCAUCCAUUUGCCAUCAUCACGGCAGGGGAGGACAACAUGUUCAUGAAGGCAGAUGUGGAACCUAGGAGUUUUUGUAGCUAUGUUGCCGCUGUGUUGUGGAAGGUAUCUUAUUCCUAUCCCUGCAUUUUCAUGUGUCCGGUGCUCAAAAAAUACUAAAGCUAAAAUCUUGCGCAUGAAAUGACUUGUUGCCUUUGAUAUUGUUAUUACGAUGAUGAUUGUAAUUAAGAUGAUCUUUAAUAUUUACUACAACUACUGUAUCUGCUGCUAGCUUGUUGCUAAUCAGUCUGUGUAGCAUGGAACAAUUAAAUCAACGCAUAAAUGCAAGUGUUACAAGUUUUUUCUUCGUUUGUUUACAGGUGGAAAACUCUGUUAGUCAAGGGAAGAUAAGUUGAUGUGCCUCACAGCAACACUUGCUGUACGUUGAUGGACAUAUAUUGAGACUACGUUGUUUUACCCGGGGGAUGGGGCCUGGAGGCGGUGGCUCGCCUCGCGGGGGACCGUCAGCUCGACCCAGAGAUCCAACUACGAGCUUUUUGACUGCAGCAACUUUAAGAUACGCUAUUGGAGCUGGAAUUACCCAGGACAGUAGGAGAAAGCCAAGCUGGAGGCCGUAAUGUCGGGUGAAAGUUUGGCGAGGCUCCGAAGCUCUGCUGUCUGAUAACUCAUUCCUGUAUGCUAUUUUUCCAUUAAUUUGAUCAAUUUUGAUUUAUUGACCUGUUUUGCACAUGCACCAAUUGUUUUAAAUAAAACAAUAAAUUAAUUCAUGUUAUCCAAAUGUUUUAUUGCGAUCAAUAUCUGCAAUAAAAUAGAAUGCCAUAGUAUUUUUUUUUUUAUAUGUACACUAAAUACCUUGUAGUAUUUCCUUGUAACAACAAAAUCCAUGUCAGCCCUUCUGCAUUAGGCAAAUGUAAUAUAUUUUGUAAUUUCACCUCAUUGUGGUCACUGAAGUGGCCGGUAAGCAAUCAUUACCUCAGGUCAUCACAGGCUGACAGGUUGUUAUAAUUUUGCCCAUGAAUGAUGAACGAAGUGAUAAGAACAAUCUCAUCUACGUCGUGCUGAAACCAUUUUUUGAGAUUCCGUGACUUCCUCUGCUUAUAUUUGCAGUUUUAACUUUGUUAACACACUGCUUACUUCAACUGUAAUUAAUGUUAUUUUUUUCUGAACUGGAAGUUCGAGGCAGACAUUGUCCACGUGGCCAGUAAUUUUAAGUGGGUGUUUUGGGGGAUGUCACCCCUUCCGUCCUGUGGGGGCGCUGUUGUCAUUGUUUAUUAGUUUAUUAGCAUUAGGAUUAGAUCCAUACUUUCAUAGAAACCUGUUAAACUUGAUUUAUUAUUCACUCGUAAAAGCAAAGCGUUUUAUUUAAUAUAGACAUACUGCAAAGACAAUAAGCAAGUAGUUCUUUCAAGCCUUGCUGCGCCAAAACAUUUUUUCUUUUCUCAGUCUCAAAAGCCUUGCUGCACCAAAGCAUUUUUUUUCUCAGUCUCAGUUCAGCAAUUGUAGUGAUGGGCCACUGUAGAUAUUUUUUUCACAGUCCAAGAAGCUUGAAGGCAUCUCUUAAAUCCAUCUCAUAAGGCUGAAAGAGAUGUUGUUGGAAUUUUGUUUAAUUUGAAUCACAAUAUUGUGAAAAUUAGUUUGUUGCUGUACCUGGAGGAUGCGAUUAAGUUUCCUGGACAAUCUGACAGAGUUUUGCUGUAGGCCUUCCCAGGCCUUGAACUGACUUUUCUUACGAUCCACAAAUGUUUGCCAGCAGUAGUAGUAGUCUAAAACACAGUAGAACAUUAAUAAUUAUUAAAUGUUUAAAGAAAACCAUCGCAAGAGUGUGAAUUUAGCACUGAACCUUUGUCAUAAUUUCAAACUACCUUUGUAACUCAUGACUGUGACUUGCACUCCCGCUUUCUCCAGCAGUCGCAGGCCCUCUCUUUCACGGCUGUCCUCCAUAUCGCAGAAGUAAAGGCGGGCAACGAAGAUCCUGAGCCGAAGGUUGGGCAUCCGGCUCAGGAACUGAGACAAAGUGAUGGAGCAGUUUGCACAGGGAGACCAGGAACAGAACCAAGUGAUGGAGUAGCUGAGCCCCCUGCUUCCUGGCUCUCCAUUACCCCAGACUCCAGGGCACAGAGCUCCGAGAUCUGUUUAUCUUGACAUGCUUCUGUCAUUUACACUGCCAUACUCACCUCUACAUGGCAACCAUUUCGAUUGCGGAGGUGUCCAAAGUCAAAGGAUAAGGAGUCCGGCCCCAUUCGCCUCUUCACAACAAAGCACAGUCUUGUAGGAGUUCUCACCAGUGACACGUGUCUAUUGAGGCCUCCGCUGGUCUUGAAGGAUUUAUUGCAGUAGCCACAUGACAGCCCUGCCCAUGUGGUUGGAGCUUCUGGCUGAACACUCUUGGAGCUCUGAAUCACUUUGCUGAAGCUUUGCAAAAGGUCAAACUGGGCCUGGGUGGUGCCCACACUCUUAAGAAACAACCAAGAAAAAACACAACUAAAUUCCUUCAUUUUGUACGUUAAUUUACAUGUUUUUAUAACUUACUGAAUUAUUUCCGUCAGCUGGCUCUGUAAGACCAAGAAGCACCUCGGCUGUAUGUCCACUUUCAGCCGCUGCCGUGGUUUCUACCACUUCUUCAAAAUCAGCAAGCAAGUGGCCAGCCCCCACUAAGCCUUCUGCUACCUCCACUUCCGCCGACCCUGGUGGCGCUUCUCCGCCAGUGCUGUGUUCUUCAGUCGCCAUGUGAAUGGACUGAUGUUCCUCAAGAGCAUUCCGAGUGGCAAAAGUAUGGUUGCAGGUGCCACAGCUAUAAAGCAGCAAGCUAGCGCCAGUGUCCGUGCUAAAGUGGACCUCGGUCCCGAUGGCCCGGGAUGCACUGGUGCUCUCUUCCAAGGGAUUGAGGCCGAGUUGUGGAAGCAGGGUGGAAUUCUGGGCGGAUGAAGAGGUGGAUAAAAAGACUUCUUCCAUCCCUACUUCAUCACUCCCUUCCUGGCUAACAUAUCCCACCAUGGCUGUCAACAUGGAUGUGGCUUCUUCCUCAGAGCCCACCACCACUACCUCUACCAGGUCACGUUCCCGCCCAGUGUCCUCUCCGGCCUUGGCCUCCUUCCCAUCCGCAUUAGAGUUAGAGUGAGAGUUCUUAUGCAGCGCCAAGUUGGACGAAUGCGUGAAGCUGCGACCGCACUCGCCGCACACAUACGGUCUCUCGCCCGUGUGUAUCCUCAUGUGCUGUCUCAGGUUGGUGGAUUGAGUGAAGGAUUUGUUGCAUACGGUGCAAGUGUAAGGUUUGAGACCUAGAUGGACAUUUUUGUGUCUCCGUAGACUGCUUGAGUUCUUGAAAGCUUUGGGGCAAGUAUCGCAUGGGUAAGGGCAUUCGCCAGUGUGCUGGCGCAAAUGAUAUUGGUAAUGGGAACUCCAUUUGAAAGUCAAGGGGCAAUAUGGACACAAGAAUGUCCUUAUUCCUGUGUGAACACUCUGAUGCACCUGGAAAAUAAAUGAAGCAAUGUUUGAUAUUUUUAUAUCCAAGAAUCUUGUUUAAUUAAUUGAAAAAAUAGAAUUUCAUUUGUCUUAGGUGUAAUGAGGAAAACAUAAAUAAUAUCCAGUAUUUCCAGGAAAAGGCUGCCAUUUUAUUAAUAGUAAUACCAUUUUAUCAAAUACCGAUAUCCUAGAUUGUCUGCCCUUCCUUGCAAUGUCAAUAAUAAUCAUUAUUACAUGCACCUAUGGUCGAGUCUAUCGGUGUUUAUGUGUGUGGGUAUAAAUGAUGUCAAAAAACGGCUGCUCUUUUGAGUGGUGUCAUUUUUCAUGUUUAAACAUAAUUUACUCCAUUAUCAGAGGUCUGAGAAAUGUUCCAUUUGCAUACUUACUACUUUGAGCAACCGCCUUUCAUUUGAAUGUCAUUUAUAUUACGUGUUGAGUGUCCCUUUAACUGAUACAAAAAGUCUACACACCCAUAUUCUCUGUAUUUAGAAAUAAAACCUUACCUGGAGAAGAGAGGAGCGCUUAAAUGCUUUGCCACAAUCUUGACAUUUAUAAGGCUUCUCUCCUGAAUGAGACCUGAAAGAAGGGAAAAAAAUCACAUACACCAAUGCAGGAUUACUACUAAAUAUUAUAUGCAAAAAAUAUUUAUUGUUGUUUUAUAAGGCUGCAACAACUAAUCGAUUAAAUUGAUUCAUAAAUUAGUAAGGAAUUUGAUAAUCAAUGUUUUCCAGCAGCUUUGAGCAGUCCCGUUUUGGUCCUUGUUUGUGUGUAAUGUGAGGCUGCGCACGGGCGCCAGUGAUUACAGCAAGAGAGAGAGAGUUCACUGCUCCAAUCAGGUUUAGUUGCUGAAUCAGUAAUAUUUACACGUGAGUAAGGUUGUAUUGAGUCGUGUGUGUUGUUAGAUCCAGUGUGCCUAUGUCAGAGGUGAGUAAAUUAAGCCAAUUUUAUUGUUUGUAUUCUUUGUUGAUGAGACGGUACCAUUUUGCACGGAGUGCUAAGGUAGUUAGCAAUAAUGCUAAUCAGUGUCUUAAGUGUCCGUUUGUAUUGUGUUUUAGAGAAGCAUAUUAGCACUUGAGUUAUCAUUGGAUGGUAAAGCUGUCUCGUUUCUUUUUAUAAAGAAACCACACACAUAAACCCAUUCAUAUAACAGCGUUAAGUCUCAACUUUCAUUCAAACUGUAAAUUGUCAUACAAGAGAGUGUGCUUUAAAAUUGGAUUUGGAUUGUAUUUACGAACAACUGUUUGAUAAAGAAAACUGAUUCUCAGAAAACUGCCUCCUCCUUAUUCGAUUUUGUUGUUUAGUUGGUUUAAAAAAAAAAAAAGGGUCAUUGACACAACAUCAGCCCUUUGCCCAUAAGAAAUAAAAUGUCAAUCAGCAGCACUUUUUUAAAAUUUAAAUCAACAGGACCUUUGUCCGAUUUUUGUACUGAGAAAUGCCUUAUACUCAGAAUCUUUAUUAAAAACUUUAACAAGUUUUUUGUACUUAAAACUGUACAGUUAAGUCAGGAAGCUAUAAUAAAAUAUUUUUGAAGGA